UGAGGAUAUAGCUCAGUUGGUAGAGUGCUUACCUUGCACGCACAAGCCCUGGGUUCAAUCCCCAGCACCACAA
rnacentral:tRNA from 1 species